UCCGGAGUUUCUCCGGCAGUCCCCCAUGAGUGCUCGGCACUACCCGGUGGCAACAUAAGGCGGGGGUUGCGCUCGUUGCGGGACUUAACCCAACAUCUCACGACACGAGCUGACGACAGCCAUGCAGCAUCUGUGGUGCACCCUCGAAGGUCGCACGUUUCCGUGCGCUUGCAGCACCAUGUCAAGCCCAGGUAAGGUUCUUCGCGUUGCAUCGAAUUAAAGAACAUGCUCCGCUGCUUGUGCGGGUCCCCGUCAAUUCCUUUGAGUUUUAGCCUUGCGGCCGUACUCCCCAGGCGGGGCACUUAAUGCGUUAGCGCCGGCACGGGAGGAGUCGACACCUCCCACACCUAGUGCCCAUCGUUUACGGCUGGGACUAC
rnacentral:misc_RNA from 1 species